rnacentral:rRNA from 1 species
CGCAUCUGUGCAUGCAGCAUAUCAAUAAGCGGAGGAAAAGAAACUAACAAGGAUUCCCUUAGUAACGGCGAGUGAAGCGGGAAGAGCUCAAAUUUGAAAUCUUCAAGGUUUUACCUUGACGAAUUGUAGUUUAAAGAAGUGUUUUCUGCUGAAGUUUUGGUAAAAGUUCUUUGGAAUAGGACAUCAUAGAGGGUGAGAAUCCCGUAUUUGACCAUUAUUUUCAGCUUUGUGAUACACUUUCAAAGAGUCGGAUUGUUUGGGAAUGCAGUCCAAAAUGGGUGGUAAAUUUCAUCUAAAGCUAAAUAUUGGCGAGAGACCGAUAGCGAACAAGUACCGUGAGGGAAAGAUGAAAAGAACUUUGAAAAGAGAGUUAAACAGUACGUGAAAUUGUCAAAAGGGAAGCGUUUGACACCAGUGUUGUUUUCUCGAAAAUCAAUUAAAAAUGGCUCGAUUUUGUAUUGCUUGAGACCUUAAAAGCUCACUGUACAUCUUUCGUGUCUUUUUUAAUGCACUUUUCGUUUAACAAGUCAACAUCAGUUUCUUUUGUUGUAAAAGGGUCAUUGGAAGGUGGCUUUCUUUUCGGAGAAAGUGUUUAUAGCCUUUGGCCUCUGCAAUCGAAGAGACUGAGGUCUGCAGCGUAGACUCUUCGGGGUUAGAUACAUUUGUGCUAAGUUAUAGCUUUUUAUAGACAACUUGUUGACUAUAAUUAGUCUUGUAGCUUACUCGCUUAUGCUAUUUUACCUACGCUUAGGAUGUUGACGCAUGAGAUAUACGC